rnacentral:rRNA from 1 species
UACGGAGGGAGCUAGCGUUGUUCGGAAUUACUGGGCGUAAAGCGCGCGUAGGCGGCUUUGUAAGUUAGAGGUGAAAGCCCGGAGCUCAACUCCGGAACUGCCUUUAAGACUGCAUCGCUAGAAUUGUGGAGAGGUAAGUGGAAUUCCGAGUGUAGGGGUGAAAUUCGUAGAUAUUCGGAAGAACACCAGUGGCGAAGGCGACUUACUGGACACAUAUUGACGCUGAGGUGCGAAAGCGUGGGGAGCAAACAGG